rnacentral:rRNA from 1 species
CCUACGGGAGGCAGCAGUAAGGAAUAUUGGUCAAUGGACGAAAGUCUGAACCAGCCAUGCCGCGUGAAGGAUUAAGGCCCUCUGGGUUGUAAACUUCUUUUAUCUGGGACGAAAAAAGGGUAUUCUUACUCACUUGACGGUACCAGAGGAAUAAGCACCGGCUAACUCCGUGCCAGCAGCCGCGGUAAUACGGAGGGUGCAAGCGUUAUCCGGAUUUACUGGGUUUAAAGGGUGCGUAGGUGGGUUUGUAAGUCAGUGGUGAAAUCUCCGAGCUUAACUCGGAAACUGCCAUUGAUACUAUAGAUCUUGAAUUAUCUGGAGGUAAGCGGAAUAUGUCAUGUAGCGGUGAAAUGCUUAGAUAUGACAUAGAACACCAAUUGCGAAGGCAGCUUACUACGGAUAUAUUGACACUGAGGCACGAAAGCGUGGGGAUCAAACAGGAUUAGAUACCCUGGUAGUCCACGCCCUAAACGAUGGAUACUCGACAUCAGCGAUACACUGUUGGUGUCUGAGCGAAAGCAUUAAGUAUCCCACCUGGAAGUACGAUCGCAAGAUUAGAAACUUAAAGGAAAUUAGACGG